rnacentral:rRNA from 1 species
GACGAACGCUGGCGGCGUGCCUAAUACAUGCAAGUCGAACGGUAAGGCGCUGAUCUUGUGGGGUGCUCGUGUGGCGAACGGGUGAGUAUAACGCGUGUAUACUGCCCUUUACUGUGGGAGAACUUCAGGAAACUGGGGAGAAAAUCGGACAGGAGAUCCGGCUGCAUGGGGGGGGUAGGAAAGAUUCGGAGGUUUGGGAUGGACGCGAGGCUCAUCAGCUUGUUGGUGGGGAAGUGGCUUACCAAGGCAUCGACGGGUCGCCGGCCUGAGAGGGUGACCGGCCACAUUGGGACUGGGAUACGGGCCAGACGCCUACGGGAGGCAGGAGUGGGGAAUAUUGCACGAUGGGCGGAAGCCUGAUGCAGCAACGCCGCGUGCGGGAGGACGGCCGUCGGGUUGUAAACCGCUUGAGCCUGGGACGAAGCGUGAGUGACGGUAGUGGGUAAAGAAGCACCGGCUAACUACGUG